AUUGAACGCUGGCGGCAUGCUUUACACAUGCAAGUCGAACGGUAACAGGCCGCAAGGUGCUGACGAGUGGCGAACGGGUGAGUAAUGCAUCGGAACGUGCCCAGUCGUGGGGGAUAACGCAGCGAAAGCAGCGCUAAUACCGCAUACGAUCUAUGGAUGAAAGCGGGGGACCGUAAGGCCUCGCCCGCUUGGAGAGGCCGAUGUCAGAUUAGGUAGUUGGUGGGGUAAAGGCUCACCAAGCAAACGAUCUGUAGCGGGUCUGAGAGGACGCCCAGCCACACUGGGACUGAGACACGGCCCAGACUCCUACGGGAGGCAGCAGUGGGGAAUUUUGGACAAUGGGCGCAAGCCUGAGCCAGCAAUGCCGCGUGCAGGAAGAGGGCCUUCGGGUUGUAAACUGCUUCUGUACGGAACGAAACGGCUCUCUCUAAUACAGGGGGUUAAUGACGGUACCGUAAGAAUAAGCACCGGCUAACUACGUGCCAGCAGCCGCCGUAACAC
rnacentral:rRNA from 1 species